GCUGUGAAGAGGCCUUCUCCUUCAUAAUUCGGUCCUGCUAGAAUUUCGCCAUGGGGCGAAAUGAUGACACUACCUCCUGCCCAAACAAUGGAAUCUGGAGUGACAUCUUCUUCUGUAGGACUGUAAAGAUACUCAGGUGGAGGUGGGUAAUCUUUCCUCCGACAGAACUGGAUGGGUGAAAGAACAUAGCAUCCACCCUCAAUAGCAACGUGUCUCAUUGUAGCUACCCAUGUAUCCCCGGAAUCGGCAGUAGGAGCACAAUAUAUCUCAAUACCUAUAGAGAUGUACAUUCGUAUUUUGUGAUCAAUCAAUCCCAUAUCAAAGCCAUAAUGUAUUUCAAGCCUAUUUAUAGGCUAAAACCCUAACAACUUAAAAAAGAGUACUGAAGUAUUUCAAGCCAAACCAUAUUAGUUAGUGAAGAAAAAGACAUACCUUUGCCAUACAUUGCUGUCCUUAGAAGCGGCAUUCUAUUUUCCCAACAAAUGACCGAACCAAGUUUUCCAUAUGGAGUGUCAUAAACUGGAGUUGUCGAGCAAUCUCCGAAACCCCAGACGAGCCGCUCCCAAUAUGUUGGCAUGAGUUUCCUAUGUUUUCCAAGGUAAUUACCUUUAGGAUCAAAGAAGAGAACAGUGCAAUACAAUGUGUAUCCCUCUCUCUCAAUAACACCUGUCACUAAGUAGACUCUGUAUUUCGCAGCCAUUGAUGCCAAUCUAUCAACUUCAGGUCCUGAAAAUACAUUAAUUUGAGAUUAAAGAUGAAACAUGUCAGCUGAAGGUUCAUCACAAAGCAGCAUAAGUAGAUUUUGUUUCAACAACUUAUUAAGUGGCUCAGUUCUUUAGCUAUUUAAGGGAGAAAAAGAGAGGUAAUUGACCCGGAACAUUAAUGGCAGAAGCAUGGUACUUGCGGAAACUUUCUUUCCCUCUUGGCGACCGGUCAGCGAAGUUAUAUCCUCGGGGAUACCCACCGAUAAAUGCUUCAGGAAACACAACCAGUUGGGAUCCCAGUGCAGCUGCUUCUUUCAAAAACCUCUCAGCCUUAUCUGCUCUCAAAAUCACAUUGCAAGAAGUAAAUUAAUUGGUUGAAUGGAGAGAAUGAAAAUUAACUUUUAAGAGAUCCCGAAUGACUUUUUGGUUGCUGAGAAAACUCAAGGAAAAACAGACCUAGAUGAAACUUGAAACUCUCAUAUUUUCAGCUGUUUUGUAACUAAGAAAAGAGAAACCACCUCAACUCAACUCAUCAAAAUAAUUGUAAAAGCAGUAAUUCCUUGAUUGGCAGCUGAAAAUAUGAUCAGGGUUCAAUCAUCCUUUUCUUUUUUUCAGUCUCUGAGAAACCAAUUAGAUCACAUAUUCCAUUACACAAGUUGCACAAUUGAAAGAAAUGGUACGUUACCUAGAGUGGCAGGAGUAUCAUAAAAGAUACUAGAAGCUUGAACAACGGUGGCUCUAACAGUUGAAGACAUUGCAGAAAAUUGUAUGUUUUUUCGUUUCCCCUUUGUUUGAGGAUUCCUCACACUGCGUUCAGUAUAUAUAUUGCCCAUGACAUUGUGGACCAGCCACUUGACUUAUACAAAUUGAAAAUGACUGAGUCAUCUGUGAAAAGCAAUUUAAGAUAACAUUCAAAAUUAAUAAGCUUUAAUUUUUAUUUAUAUAUAUAUAUACAUAAUCUACAAGUUGUUAUCAUUAUAUUUGAAUAAAAAGAGGGACCCGCCCACAUGCAUGGAUUCCAUCCAUCUAGCACACAGAUAAAUUGUCUUUAGUGGCGGCUGAGGCUUUCUAUGACUUAUACCAUAUAUCUAUACACCCCAGUAUAUAGCUAAAAACUGGGUAAUGUAUUGGCCCCUACCUAAAAUUAUUGAUUGAUUCAAUGACAGCUAUCUGAGAAAAAUAAAAAAGGGAGAACUAUUCUUACGCUUGCCUUGAUUUAAGCAAAUAUACUUUUAAUUAGGAAUUCUAAUUUUCAUAUUUUACCCCAAACAGAUAAUCAAUAAAAUUAUUCUCCAAAUAUGUAUUUUAAUAGCAACAAAAAUGAGAAUUCCAUAAUUAUCCCUUUUAAAAUCUUUAAUAUGACAAGUCGUAAUUUAAUGUGUUUGGUAGCUCUCCUUUUUCUUUUUUUCUCCUCUACAUCACUUUCUCCAUAUAAUGUCUUUGAUAUCCUCUCCAUAUCAUGUUGUUGAUAUCCUACCUUUGACAUUUUUUUUUAUCUAUGUGUUGAAGUGACUACACUUUUAGAUUUCUUUUCACUCUUUUAAUAUUUUCAUAUAUAUUUAUUAACUUUAAUAAAUUUUUGAAAACAUUAAACAUAAAAUUAUAAUAUAUGAUAAAUAAUUAAUGAUAACAAAUUAAAUAUAAAUAUAAGUAUGAAAUGGACAAAAAAUAAAAAAUUUAUCCUACAAAUAAUAGACUAUAUAGUUUAAAAUAUUAGUUAUAAUAAUAUAUUUGAUACUUUAGAGUUUAGAUUAAAAAAUUAUGUUUUAUUUUUUAGAGGUUAGCAUAUAAUAUUUCCAUUAAACAAAGAUUUUUUUAUAUGAAUCCUAAAUAAAAUGUUUAUUUAUUUUGCAAAUUCUUAUCAUAUGCGAUAUAUAUAUAUAUAUAUAUCAUGUUAUUUAUAAUUUUUAUUAUUUUGUGUCAAAAUCACAGUCAAUGAUGAUAAUUUUAGUUAGUAUAGAGCUCUUAAAAGGAUGAUAUGAUGUAACAAAUAUGAAGUUAUUAAUUAUUUACUGAUAUUCUGGUUUUACUUUUAUUAAUCCUUAUUCCAUACAUUAUAUUUUAUGAGCAUCCUAGUUUGACAUUUCUUAUACUAUACAUGGCUUAGGUGCAUUAGAAGUUGCACGGAAGAUCCAAGUUAUAGAUUCCUUUUUUAAUUCAAUAUUUUAAAAAAAAAAUUAUACUUUCAGUCAAUGUCUCAUAUUUCAAACACGUACACACUCUAGAAUUUCUCGAAUUGUAGUCUAGAAUGUCAACUUAGUGUUUGAUGAAAAAAGGUAUAAACAAAUAUAUGAAAAAAGUAAUCAACAAGCAUAGGAUUCUAUUUGAAUAAAAAAGAGCCACUUACAUGCAUUGAUAAAGGAAACUCCAACUCAGCUAGCAUACAAUCCAUGCCAAAGCAGAAUCUUUACGUAAGAAGUUGAUAAUGCAAUUUGCCAGGAAGGAAAACUACUCUCCAUAUUUGUAAUGUGGAAAAUCAAGGUUGGAAGGAAAUUUUCACUUACUUAUUCUGUAUAAUAUUCCCUUUUUUUUUUUUUUUUGUAAAGAAAGUAUGUAUUGUUUAUUUAUUUUUUAGAAAACAAUUAGUAAAGUGUGGUGCGAAUUCAACCUUUCAAAAAUAGUUUCUAUUCUUCAUGGUAUCGGAGCUAGUUAAUCUAAAACAAUCCAAAGCUUCCAUGGAAACCCCAGAAAAUGUUCUUAGCAUUCAGGCUUUUCAUCAAUGCUCGAGCCUCAUCUCCAUCAAACUGAAUAUGUCCAAUCUCCUUUUGUGGCACUCACAAGUUCUUCCUCUUGUGCGAAGCCUUGGAUUAGUCCAUCAUCUCUCUGAAAAUAGACACGCAUAAGAGGGGAUAAUGGAUAGUGAAACAAAGGAGACCUAUGAUUAGUCAAUAGAGACAUGGUCUCACAAUGAUGAUCUACUUACCUCCUGGCUUCUUGGACCCAUGACAGAAGAAGUGAUUCUUUUAUUGGAUGGAACAGAGAUUGCCUAUGAUGUUUGGAACUCUCUGGAAGAAAAACUCCUUCCAAUGACCAAAGAGAAGGAUAUGCAAUUGACCAAUAGACUCCGAGGGCUGAAGAAAGGCACAAGGUCCCUUGAUGAAUAUCUAAGGGAGUUCAAAGAAAUUUUUGAUGCAUUAGCUACAGUUAGAAAACCAGUAAGUGACCUAGACAAAGUUUUUCAACUAGCUCAAGGUCUCAUAACUAAAUACAUGGAUUUUCGGGUGGCCAUGUUAUCAAAGCCACCAUAUCCCUCUUACAAUCAAUUUGUUCUGGCUCUACAAGGGCAUGAACAAAUGAUUAUGAUAGAAAAUGAAGAGAACAAAGAGUCAAUAAACCAUGAACAAGCCUAUUUUACCCAAUGAGGAAGACGAAGAAAUCAAGGAGGAAGAUUUCUUUCUAGAGGUCAUGACUUCAUUCUAGCAAGACGAUUCAAUCACAAUGCUACCAAUGACCAAAGGCAGAAUGUUCAUCCCAACACCAGAAAUCCAAGAAAUAGCUUCAACAACCAGCUUCCACCAGAACAAAAACUCCAAAAAUCUAAAGGUACUCUUAUUUACCAAAUUUUUAAUAAAGCUAACCAUUCAGCUUUGGAUUGCUAGAACAGAUUCAACUAUUUGUAUCAAUCAGAAGAGAUUCCUCAAGCUUUGGCUGCUAUGGCUCUAAAUGAAGAAGAUAAGGAUCCUAAUUUUUAUGUGGACUCGAGAGCAAAAACCCAUAUAACAAAUGACCUAGGUAAGAUUACCCAAGUAAUUCCAUAUAAAGGGCAUGAUGCAAUUUUUGUUGGAAAUAGAGAAGCUGUAAGAAUCUCACAAAUUGGUGAAGCUAGACUAAAAACUAAACAUAUAGAUCUAAAGCUUAAAAAAUUAUUGGUUAUUCCAAAAAUUAAGAAAAAAUUGUUAUCCAUUGGACAACGUACCUCUGAUAACCCAUGCUCCAUAGAAUUCUCAUCAACUAGUUUUGUCAUUAAGGAUCAACUUCAACAAGUGCUAGCUAGAGGAACUAAGAAGAGAGGUCUCUAUGCAUUGGAGGAAAAUGUGAUUCAAGCCAUGAUAGUUACUAGGUCUAGCAAGGCACCAUAAGAAGUGUGGCAUCAACGCAUGGGGAAUCUGCAAACAAAAUCUAUAAAGCUUCUACAAGAUAAGAAUUUCAUUGAAGUAUCUAGUUGGAUGAAAUCAACAAUAGUUUGUGUUAGUUUUCAAUUAGGAAAAAGUUGUAAAGUUUCUUUUGGCUUAAAAAAUAAAAUUUCCAGCAAUCUUCUUGAAAAAAUUCAUUGUGACUUAUGGGGACUUGCACCAAAUAAUUCAACUCAAGGAUACAAGUAUUAUGUUGUCUUUAUUGAUGAUCAUACUCACUAUACAUGGCUUUAUCCCUUGAGAAGAAAAUCAAAUUUCUAUGAAUGUUUUUUGAAGUUUCAAAAUCUGGUUGAGAAUCAACUUGAAAGAUAGAUAAAAAUCUUCCAAAGUGAUGGUGGAGGUGAGUUUCAAUCAAUUAAAUUUCAAAAUCACCUAAGCAAGUGUGGAAUUUUGCAACGAGUCUCAUGCCCAUGAACUCCAGAACAAAAUGGGGUUGUAGAGAGAAAGCAUAAACACAUUGUUGAAAUGGGUUUAACAAUGCUUUUCAAUGCCAAAUUACCAUUGAGUCUAUGGGUAGAUGCAUUCCAUACUGUCGUAUACCUUAUUAAUCGACUGCCUUCCAUGGUGUUGAAAAUGUAGAGUCCAUUCUUUAUGUUUUUCAAACAAUAUCCAGAAUAUAGGAGCUUGAGAAUUUUUUGUUGUCGAUGUUUUCCAUACCUUUGAGACUACGGGAAGAAUAAAUUCUCACCUAAGAUAUCUCCAUGUGUUUUUAUUGGAUAUAGCUCUCUACACAAGGGUUAUAGAUGCUUGCAUCCUUCAACUAAAAGAGUUUACAUAUCUCAUCAUGUCAUCUUCAAUGAAAAUUGCUUUCCUUAUGCUAACUCUCUUGUUAAGAAAAAUCAUUUACAGAUUCCUAUAGAAAUGGUAUCAUUCUCAACUUCAGAUGUUUUUUGUGAGACUUAAAAAAUGGAUCACCAAACUAAGUCUUGGAAGGAGAACACUGCUAACCAAUCAAGCAACUCCAAGAAGUUCAACCAUUGGUCAUGCACUACUAGGUAAAGAAACUGGUUUAGUGUUGACGGAAGAAUUUCUACUAGUUGUAUUACUAACCAAAAUACAAAAGCAUCAUGUGUUAAUCCGACUGGAACUCCCACUACUAUUACUGUUGAAAUUUCCACUAUUGUUACUAGUAAAAAUGACCAUAAUACCGUCAUUACUACUGAAACUCCCACUGAUGUUGCUCUUGGUUCUAGUGGCCACAAUUUCAACACUGCAACUACUAUUGGAACACUCUCCUAGAUUGAGUCUACUAGUAGCUACAAGCCUGCCAAUGUUAGUAAUUUUCCUUAUAUCAGUAAGCACCUAGUAGUUGAUCUCUCUUUCCCUUAAAAAUGGCAGAAAAAUGAGCAUGUUGGUUCAUCUCCGCAAAACAAAUCCACCAGUCACAGUGUUGAUGAUGAAGUUCCUGAUAUUAGCAAGCAAAUUGUUGUUGACAUCUCUUCUCCUCAGGGCUAACACAUAGAUAACAAAGAAACUCAUAUGAUCACCAGAAGUAAACUCAAGAAUGAUCCCAGUUUAAAGUCUCAAAUGGUUACUUUUGUUGCCAUAAGAAGUAAUAUUAGUGAGCCAAAAACAUAUUGUACAACAUUGAAAAUUCCCUAUUGGUUCAAACAAUGCAAGAGGAAAUUAAGGAUUUAAUCCAAAAUCGAACAUGGGAUUUGGUUCCUAGGCCUCCAACUGCAAAUAUUGUGGGUUCUAAAUGGGUGUUUAAAACAAAGCUAAAGGAAGAUGGAACCAUAGAUAGAUACAAAGCACAAUUAGUUGCUAGAGAUUUUUCUCAAAUACCGGGUUUGGACUUUGGAGAGACCUUCAGCCUAGUUAUAAAGCAUACUAUAAUCAGAUUGAUCCUUUCAUUAUCAGUAACCUUGGGGUGGACAAUGAGGCAAUCAGAUGUUAAGAAUGCCUUCAUACAUGGGUUUCUAAAGGAAAAAGUACUCAUGGAACAACCUCCAGGAUUUAUAAACAAGGACUUUCUGAAUCAUGUCUACAAAUUGAAUUGUUCUCUUUAUAGCCUUAAGCAAGCUCCAAGGGCCUAGUUAAAUAAACUAUUUCAAUGUCUUCUUCAUCUGGGGUUUUACUGUGGUAAAAUAGACUCGUCUUUAUUUAUUCUUCGCAAAGGUCAGUCUAUUGUUUUGCUACUUAUCUAUGUUGAUGAUAUUAUAGUCACAGGCAAUGAUAACAACAUCAUUAGUGACCUCAUCAGCACCCUGAGUAGUGAAUUUUCUCUCAAGGACUUAGGAUUUUUGCAUUAUUUUUUGGGAUUGGAGGUUAAAUAUCUUCUUAAUGGGUUGUUUCUUUCUCAAACAAAGUACACUAGAGAUCUCCUAGAGCACACAAAAAUGAUGGAGUGUACUCAUAUCAACACAUCCAUGGCUCUUAAGUCCAUCAUCACACCUUCUGAUGAACAACCUAUUGAUCCUACAUGAUAUAGGUAACUUGUUGGAUUCCCCUAAUAUUUAACCUUCACAAGGCUUGAUUUUGUGCAUGCAGUAAACAAGGCCUACCAACAUUUCCAAGCACCCACUAAAGUUGACUUGCAAGCUGUCAAACGCAUCCUUAGAUAUUUGAAGGAAACAAUGGAGCAUGGAAUCAGGUUUUUCAAGCAAAGUUCGCUUCGUCUCACUGGUUUUUGUGAUGCUGAUUGGGCAGGAUGCACAAACACAAGAAGAAGCACAUCUAGGUAUUAUAUUUUUCUAGGAGCCAAUUGUAUCUCAUGGUCCUCAAAGCGACAACCUACAAUUUCUAGAUCAAGCACCGAGGCCAAAUAUCGAUCCCUUGCGUCCAGUGCUGCAGAAAUAACUCGGCUUACUUUCCUUCUCCAUGAUAUUGGCAUUCAACUAUGUGAACCUUCUCAAUUUCUAUGCGAUAACCUCAGUGCCCUUCACAUGACAGUACAUCUCGUCUUCCAUGCAUGGUCCAAGCAUAUUGAGUUGGACUAUCAUUUUAUUCGGAAAAAAAGUUGCAAGUGGAGUUUUGAUUACUUGUUUCCUUCCAUCGUCCUUACAAGUAGCUGAUAUAUUCACAAAGACACUCCCUAAGACUUCAUUCCAAGUCUUUCGAUUCAAGCUAGGAGUGCACAAGUUACCACUCACUAGCUUGCAGGGGGCUAAUAAAGGAAAGUCAAACUCAACUAGCAUACAAUCCAUGCCAAAGCAAUCUUUACGUGAGAAGUUAGUAAUGCAAUCUGCUAGGUAGGAAAACUACUCUCAAUAUUUGUAAUGUGGAAAAUCAAGGCUGGAAGGAAAUCUUCACUUACCUGUUCUGUAUAAUAUUCCCUUUUCUAUGCAAAUAAAGUAUGUAUUGUUUAUUUAUUUUUUAGAAAAAAUCAGUAAAGCGUGGUACAAAUUCAAUCUUUCAAAAAUAGUUUAUGUUCUUCAUGCAUGGAUAAUAAAUCCCAUGGAUAAAUUGUAUUUAGCAGCGGCUGAAGCUUUCUAUAUGACUAAAGAGAAAAAAAGUCAUUAAAAAACUAAUUGCCAUGUGACUACGUCUACCAGUAGAUAGUUGAGAACAAGGUCUAACUCUUAACCUUUUGUACUACCUUUACAAAGGAACACAAAAUUGAGAGAUUCAAAGGCAACUAUAGUAUAAAUAUUGUUUCAUAAAUUACUUUUCAAAUUUAAUUUGAUAACAAAAAUUUAGAAUACAAAAGUAUGAAAAAUUUGUUCCAUUCCCAAAAUUUUUGCAAAUAAAAUUUUAAAGUAAUAAAUUAACACCAUGACUCUUUUCACAUCUUAUUCUCCUUUCUAUCAAAGAAAUGAUAGUAAUAAUCUUAUCUAUAAAUUUUAAAUGAGGCAAGAUCAUUGAAUUUUUAUUUUCUUUUAUUUUCUUGUUAUGUAAUUAUCAAACACAUUUUUUUUUUAAGACAAAAAAAAAUUAGACUGAAGAAAUAUAUUUUUGCCCUGAUUUAGUCACUUGGAUUGCAAUUCGAAGGAUGGAAAUAAAAGUGUAUUCUUGGAGUUAAAGAUCAAUUGAAAGCUUAAAGCGGCUUGUUCUCGAAUGAAUUUAAUGAAUGACGAAGAAUACAUGUGUUGUAAUUUUUUGGAUUUGUAGGGGAAUUUUAUGAAGCUCUUUUCUCUUUGUCAGGCUUCUUUUUUUGUAUGAUUUUUUUUCUUCAUCAUUUUCAUUCAAGGAAGUCGCAUAUAUUUAGAGAUGAAAUUAAAAAAUUAAAUUUAGAAUUCCUAAGAUUUGAUUACUUAAUUAAAAAAAAUUGGUUUCUUGAUUUUAGCAACUUGUCUCCUCUAUUAAGGAAGUUUGCUAAUAAGAGAAUAUUUAAUUAUCAUUUUCUUUUGACUUCAAUUAGAAGAUUUGAUUCGUUUGUUCAUAAAAUUUGAAAACAAAAAAAAAAAUUAUUUCUAUUUUUUUAUUUCAAUUGUUUAAUUUAAUUUGAUUUUGGAAGACUUUAUUUUAUAGUUUUCCAAAUUUUGUUACAUGUCAUUUUUUGAAUUGCAUGUUACAUAUUCAAUAUACAUGACCCAUCACUUAUUAAGCAUAAAUUUCGUUGAGCUAAGGAGUUACAAUUUUGAAGACUAAUUUGAUAGUAUUUUAAUCCACUAAAAUUUUUUAUGUCUACAAAUGCCCCGUCUUCAAGACAAACACACACAUGCAUUGUCAUGUAUAAAAGAUGAGUCUUGAAGUUAGCAUUUUGAAUCUUUAAUAUCCUUCUUUGAUAUUUUUUUUUUCAAAGAAAUAUUUUAAUAGGAAAUUUCCUAUUUCAAAAUACCUUUCUUCAACUUUUUCCAAAAACGACUUUAUUUUCUUCCUUUUUUUCUACCUGGUAUCAAGGAAAGACUUUGUGUUAAUGGGAAAGUUUCUUAUUUGAACAUAUAUUUGCUUUUCUCAUGGUAUUUUCACUUCCAAUUUAUCAUCCUACAAGAAGUCCUUCACCCUUGGUCGAUUGUAUCUUAGACUUGAUCACAUGCCUUUAACUUGUAAUUCUUGCUCCACUUUAUUUAUUUUAUUUUAUUUUAUUUUAUUUUUAAAAAAGAAUACAAUGUAUAUGAGCAAGACCUUGAGCAAGAGGAGCAAGGUGGAGGGUGGAGCAUGAGCUAGCCUUAGGGUAAGACCUUGAGCAAGAGAAGUAAUGUGGAGUGUAGAUCACAAACUUCUCUGGAGCAUGGUAGGCAUACCGUCACAGAAUUGUCUUCCACAUGGAGCAUGGUAGGGUUUAUACAUAUGAUAGGGUGUGCCAUCAUGUAACAAUGAAGAACAACAAUCCAUGGUGUACAAUUGGGAACAACAAUUCAUGCUAUCAAGCUUCAACAUUUUUUUUUACCCCCAUCUCCAUUUUUUCAACUUCUUUUUUUUUUUUUUGUCCUUUUUUUUUCCCUUUUUUUAAGCAUUGUUUUUAAGGAAGAAAUAGGUUUGCCAUCCCUUACUAUGAGGUCAAUAUCCAUCACUUGCAAAGACAAAUUUGCUUUUUGAUAUUUUUUCUUCUUCAAUAAUUAACUUAACAUUUUAAUAUAUAUAUAUAUAUUUUAACAAACUUGAAUAUUCAUAAUAAAAUAAAUAUUUAAUGUCUUUACUCAUCCAAAUUAGCUUGACUUGAAUACUUAGUAGAUCCAUACUUAACACCCAUGUAGACGAGCUGUAACCUUGAUGGCAGGUUGUGUUGUAUUUUCGACACUUAAUGUGCCUUAAGAGUUAAAGUCUUCUCUCAUACAAAUUAGCUUGGUUUGGAUGCACAAUGGUGUGUAACUUUUUAACACUUUAUUAAACUUGGAACCAUAUUUAACACCCACGUAGACAAGUCAUAAUCAUGACAUGGAUCACUGUUUUAUUUUUAGCUCUUAAUGUGGCUUAAAUAUUAAAUUCUUCACUCAUACAAAUUAAAUUGGGUUAGAUGCACAAUGGUGUUCAACUUGUUAACAGUUAAUUAAAAUUAGAACCAUAUUUAACACCCAUACAAACAAGUCAUAACUUUGACGUGGAGCAGUGUUGUAUCUUUGGCUUAAUGCCGCUUAAGUGUUAAAGUCUUCACUCAUAUGAAUUAGCUUCACUUAGAUGCAUAGUUGUAUUAUACUUUUUAACACUUAAUUUAAAUUUGGACCAUAUUGAAAACCCAUGUGAACAAGACAUAACCUUGUAGUGGUGUUAUAUUUUUGACACUUAAUGUAGCUUAAAUGCUAAAGUCUUCACUUCUAUGAAUUGGUUCACCUUGGAUGAAUAGUGAUGUCUAAAUUGUAAUAAUUAAAAUUGAAACCAUAUUUAACACUCAUGUAGAUAAUCAUAACUUUGACGUAAUGGCAUUGUAUUUUUGACACUUAAUGCAGCUUAGGUGCUAAAGUUUUCACUCAUGAGAAUUGGUAUGAGUUAGAUGCAUUGUGGUGUCCAACUUUUUAACACUCAAUUAAAAUUGGAACCAUAUUUAACACCAAUGUAGAUAAGUCAUAACCUUGACGUGAAGCGAUAUUGUAUUUUUGACACUAAAUGCAACUUAGGUGCUAAAGUCUUCACCCACGCAAAUUGGUUCAUCUUGGAUGCACAAUGGUGUCGAAUUUUUUUAACAUAUAAUUAAAAUUUGAACCAUAUUUGACACUCAUGUAGACAAGUCAUAACCAUGAUGUAGAGUAGUGUUGUAUUUUUAACACUUAAUAUGACUUUACUGGUAAAUUCUUUACUCAUGUGAAUUGCCUUGAUUUGGAUGCACAACUAACUUUUUAACAUUUUAUUAAAUUGGGUAUCAUAUGUGUUGUUUUUUUAACACUUAAUACGACUUUAGUGGUAAAUUCUUUACUCAUGUGAAUUGUCUUGAUUUGGAUGCACAAUGAUGCCUAACUUUUUAACAUUUUAUUAAAUUGGUAUCAUAUUUAACACCAAUGUAGACAAGUCAUAACUUUAAUGUAGAUGCGGUGUAGUAUUUUUGGCACUUAAUAUUGUUUAAGUGCUAAAGUCUUCACUCAUGUGAAUUUUCUUGGUUGAGAUGCACAAUGGUGUGUAACAUUUUAACAUUUAAUUAAAAUUGGAACCAUAUUUAACACUCGUGUAGAGAAGUCAUAACCUUGACAUGGAGUAAUAUGCAAUUUUUUUAUAUUUAAUAUGACUUAAGUGCUAAAGUUUUCACUCAUGCGAAUUGACUUGACUUGGAUGCAUAGUGAUGUCUAACAUUUUAACACUUAAUUAAAAUUAGAGCUAUAUUUAAUAAUCAUGUGGACAAGAAAUAACUUUGACGUGAAACAAUAUUGUAAUUUUGACACUUAAUGUUGCUUAAAUGCCAAAGUCUUCACUCAUACAUAUUGACUUAGCUUGGAUGAAAAGUGGUAUCCAACUUUUUGACACUUUCUUAAAUUUGGAAUUAUGUUUAACAUCAAUAUAGACAAGUAAUAACCUUGACGCAGAGUGAUGUUAUAUUUUUAGCACUUAAUAUAGCUUAAGUGCUAAAAUAUCCACUUCUAAGAAUUGACUUGGCUUGGAUGCAUAAUGGUGUCCUACUUUUUAACACUUAAUUGAAAGUGAAAUCAUAUUUAACACCCAUUGUAUGCUAGUCGUAAACUUGAUAUAGAGCAUUGUGCAACUUUUUAACACUUAAUGCGACUUAAAGUGCUAAAGCCUUUACUCAUAUGAAUUAAUUGAACUUAGAUGCACAUUUGUUUCCAACUUUUUAAUACAUAAUUAAAAUUAAAACCAUAUUUAAAAACCAUGUAGACAAAGACAUAAUCUUAACAUGGAGCUAUGUAUAACUCUUAACACUUAAUUAAAAUUGAGAUUACACUUAACAACCACAUAUUCCUCCUAUUUUUCAAUUUUUUCUUGUGGUGAUGAUUGAACUUAACUAGUUUGUCCAAGUUGCCUAUAUACCCUUAACAGAGAGGGAAUCAAGUCAAACUUAGUUCAAAGUAUUUCUUUUAAUCUCUAACUUUUGCCAAGGCUAAUGAUUUUAAUCUUACAAGCUUGUCUUAACUUUUGACCAUAUAUGUAGUCUUUUUAGGUUUCAAUUUAACGGCCUAUAUAUGACUUGUACAAAUUGAAAAUGACUUCAAUCAUGUGUAAAAAAUAAUAAAAGAUAUUCAUUCCUAGUUUUAGGGCAACGAAAAAUAGUUGAUCCUUUUUUAUAUUAUUAUUAUUGUUGUUGUUAUUAUAAUUAUUAUUUCACCUUACAAAAAGACCUUCUGCAAUUAAUAUUUUAUACAUAUAUAUAUAUAUAUAUUUUAUCUUUUAUAUAUUUAGUUUUCAUAGUAUUUUUUAAUUCAAUAUAUAUAUUUUUUAAAUAUCUAUACUUUCGGUCAAUGUCUCAAAUUUAAAGCACGUGCAUGCUCUAGAAAUUCUCAAGUUGUAGGCUUGUGGCCUACAAUGUCAACUUAGAGUUUGAUGAAAAAGCGCAUAAACAAAGACAAAAAAAUUAAUCUACAAGUACUUGGAUUCUAUUUGAAUAAAAAAGAGCCACCCACAUGCAUGGAAUAAAUAUAUAUCCCAUGGAUUAGUUGUAUUUAGCCACGGCUGAAGCUUUCCACUAUGACUUAAAAAAAAAAAAAAAGAGGAUAAUGCCAUUAAAAAACUGAUUGCUACGUGGGUAUGCCUGCCAGUAGAUGGCUGAAAACUAAGUUCUAUUCUUUUCAAUAGUUGAGAGAUUCAAUGGCAACUAUCGUAUAAACAAUGUUUCAUAAAUUACUUUUAAAUUUUGACAGCAAAGACUAAAAAUGUAAAACCAUAAAAAAUUUGUUCCAUUCCCAAAUUUUUAAAAAUAAAAUUGAAAAUAAUAUAUUAACGCCCAUGACUGUUUUCACAUCUUAUUCUCAUUUCUAUCAAUGCAAUCAUCGUAAGCAUCUUAUCUAGAAAUAUGGCCUAGAGCCAUAGAGCUGCCUUUUCUUUAGUCCUAGAGCCAUUUCAUGAGCUAAUAGUAGUCUUUCCUUAGCAUUUCCAGCCCAAAGCUCCCAUUUCCUUAGGCCUAGAGACGUUUUCAGCCCAGAGCCGCUGUUUCUUUCGGCCUAUAACCAUUUUCAGCCUGAAGCUGCCUUUCUCUAGCAUUUUCAGCCCAAAGCUUCCUUUCCUUGGCAUAUUAGCCCGAAGCUUCUAUUUCUUUAGGCCUGGAGCCAUUUCAACCCAGAACUGUCAUUUCUUCUAAAUAGCUUCUCUUUUAAAAGACUUCAGUUUGUCUUUCUAGUCACAAAAUUUAAGGCUUUGUUCCAGGUUUGAAGAAGCUGGUAAAAAUCUGGCUGUUGACUAAGCUCAACUAAAAAACAGUAAAGCUUGCUGACCUGGGUAAUAAAUAACAGCUAUCUUGGCAGUAUUGUUAGUUAGUUAGAGGUUUUUUUUUUACUAUUAUAAAAGGUGCAGACUUGGGAAAACUGAAAUAAGGUAUUCAAUUGUACAGAAUAGAGAGCAAGAAAAGCAGAGAGCUUUGAAAUCCAUAACCACAGGUCUGUUUCGGUUUUCCUAUAGAGAAAAGAAAGAAACAGAGGUGAGGAGGGUUCUUGGGGAAAGCCUAUAAGUUCUUUGUUUUUUAUUCUUGUGUAAAUUCUGGUUGGUACAAUUUAAUAAAGGCUUCAGGAAAUCAGUGUGAAUGUAGAUCAAGUUGAUCGAACCACGAUAAUUCUCUUGUGUUCUUGAUCUUGGUUGAUUGUCUACAAGCUGUUUGAUUUUAUUCCUAAGAGAAGUUCUUGCAAACUGGUUGUCUUUUUCUGGUUUAGUUUCUGCUCUAAUAGUCCCUAAUUCAAGACUGGCUUUUCUCAACAGCAUGGUUUGAAACACAUAAUUUUCACCAUUCAAAUGCAAAACAAUUAACUAAUUUCAAAUGCUAUGUGUUGUUUCCUUCUAAUUUCCCCUUUAUUUUUUUUUCUCUCCUAUUUUCCUUCAAAUUUUUGGAAAACCAAACAGAGCCUAAAAGAAAAGAUAAUUUUACUUAUUUUGAAAGUUGUUUCAUGUUAAUUUAAUGAAGCAUUUAUAAUAUUAAGAUCGCCCUUUCAUAAUCAUGAGGUAACCUUAGUUUCAACUUCUACAAGAGGCUAAAUGAAAAAAGCUAUCACAGAGAAGAAGGCCUCAGCCAAUGAGUGGAAAAUACAAUUUUAUUAAUACUUGAUAUCAAAAAAAAGAAAAAAAAAAAAAAGGAUGAUUUUACUUUCAAACCAAGGAUUUAUUUAUGUUGAAGUGCAGUCUCCAUAUGCACAUGUGACUGCAUUUACAGGAUAAAGAAAGACAAGGAAAUUAACAAUGUUGGACUUACUGGAAAAUCAUACAAAUUAUUGAAGGAGGACCUUAGCUAGGCUAACUGUCUCCUAAAUUGCCCAUCUUUUAUAUAUCUUUGCAAUCAUCCAUCUCAUCAUCAGCUUUGAUUUUAGAUGGUGAGGAUGUGAAAGUAACAGGAAGCAGUGGACGAUUGUUCACAGUGAGGCUUAGCACAUCAGCUCUCGAAUAAUGUCCUACCACAUCGAACUGGAACUUUGCUUUAGGAAUCUCUCCACGAACAUCUGCAUAUCAAGUGAUCAUCAAAAUAUUUGAUCAGCCCGUGAUAAAUAUCAUAGAGUAUCAAGUCUUCCAUGAAACCAUGUUUGCAGUCCUUUUAAACCUAAAGAAUUGACUCAUUUGCCUUAUCUGCAUACUGAAAUAUUUGGAUAUACAAUUGGAGAAGUUAGGGCCAUACCAAGAUCAGCUGUGAAGAGGCCUUCUCCUUCAUAAUUUGGUCCUGCUAGAAUUUCGCCAUGGGGCGAAAUGAUGACACUACCUCCAGCCCAAACAAUAGAAUCUGGAGUGACAUCUUCUUCUGUAGGACUGUAAAGAUACUCAGGUGGAGGUGGGUAAUCUUUCCUCCGACAGAACUGGAUGGGUGAAAGAACAUAGCAUCCACCCUCAAUAGCGAUGUGUCUCAUUGUGGCUACCCAUUUAUCCCCGGAAUCGGCAGUAGGAGCACAAUAUAUCUCAAUACCUAUAUAUAUGAACAUUGGUAUUCUGUGAUCAAUCAAUCCCAUAUCAAAGCCACAAUGUAUUUCAAGACUGCUUAGAUUAAAACCCUAAUAAUGUAAAAGGGUGCUGGAGGUCCUAUUUGGUAAUUGUCUUCGGAACAGUUUUGAGAAAUAGUUUUUGAAAGUUGUUCUUUAAUAGUUUAUAAAACAUAAGAAUAUUUGAAACCUAAAAUAUAUUCAACUUAUUAAAAAUAAUUUUUAUAUUUAAUACUUUAUUUUUAAAUAUUCUUCAUAUUUAUAUAAUUAUUUUUUAAAACAACCUUAAAAACAAA
rnacentral:lncRNA from 1 species